GAUGGUUCUUGGGUGACACACCCCAGAAUUGGGCUCCCUUCUCUCUGGUUCUGGGUAUAUCACCUAAGAACUGCA
rfam:Myotis lucifugus cont2.5282, whole genome shotgun sequence.